AUUCUAUCUGACCCUGUAACAAACUUGAUUACUCGCUUAACUUAAUGUGCUGAUCAAAGUACCGUUUGAUUUGAAGUUUAAAGGAUGGAUUGUUCCAGAGUGUUAGCCGUGUUUCUCUUAUUUAUCUUACCUCAAGGUUACACGGCUAUUGAUACGACAACAGAUGCUAGCUCUAUCACAGUGGGUGCUGCUGUAGGGGGCAGUACAGGCGGCAUCGUUGUUCUGGCCAUCAUCUGUUUGUGUCUGUGUUGCCACCAUGAGAAGAAAAACCAAGUGCAGGUCAUCACGACAGUCUCACGCUACUAGAAGUGAGUGAGGUCAGAGCGUUCGUCGCCUUCAAAAACAGAUGGCUGGAUGUCAAACAACAUCAGAACAUCAGACAACAUCGGACAACAUCAGACAACAUCAGACAACAUCAGACAACAUCAGACAACAUCA